AACGAACGCUGGCGGCGCGCCUAAUACAUGCAAGUCGAGCGAGAAGACGUAGCAAUACGUUUGUAAAGCGGCGAACGGGUGAGGAAUACAUGGGUAACCUACCCUCGAGUGGGGAAUAACUAGCCGAAAGGUUAGCUAAUACCGCGUACGCUCCUUGGACUUCGGUUCAGGGAGGAAAGCGAUACCGUGGGUAUCGCGCUCUUGGAUGGGCUCAUGUCCUAUCAGCUUGUUGGUGAGGAACGGCUCACCAAGGCUUCGACGGGUAGCUGGUCUGAGAGGACGAUCAGCCACACUGGCACUGCGACACGGGCCAGACUCCUACGGGAGGCAGCAGUAAGGAAUAUUGCGCAAUGGGCGAAAGCCCUGACGCAGCGACGCCGCGGUGGGGGA
rnacentral:rRNA from 1 species